GAUGAACGCUGGCGGCGUGCUUAACACAUGCAAGUCGAACGAAGCACUUUAUUUGAUUUCCUUCGGGACUGAUUAUUUUGUGACUGAGUGGCGGACGGGUGAGUAACGCGUGGGUAACCUGCCGUGUACAGGGGGAUAACAGUUGGAAACGGCUGCUAAUACCGCAUAAGCGCACAGCAUCGCAUGAUGCAGUGUGAAAAACUCCGGUGGUAUAAGAUGGACCCGCGUUGGAUUAGCUAGUUGGUGAGGUAACGGCCCACCAAGGCGACGAUCCAUAGCCGAGCUGAGAGGGUGACCGGCCACAUUGGGACUGAGACACGGCCCAAACUCCUACGGGAGGCAGCAGUGGGGAAUAUUGCACAAUGGGCGAAAGCCUGAUGCAGCGACGCCGCGUGAGCGAAGAAGUAUUUCGGUAUGUAAAGCUCUAUCAGCAGGGAAGAUAAUGACGGUACCUGACUAAGAAGCACCGGCUAAAUACGUG
rnacentral:rRNA from 1 species